rnacentral:sRNA from 1 species
UACAUGGGUGGGAGGUUCAUUCAGCACCCACCAGUCAGAAAAUCUACAGCCAAGUCAUUCUGGGAAUAAAGUGAGAUAAACUUUAUAGUUUAAAUCUGAAUUCAGGACUGUGUUUGAAUAUUUUAGUUUACCAGAGAAGAAUGGAACUUAGAGCUUAAAAGCAAGAAGAAGAUAUGAAAAUAUGACAUCAAGCUGGGAUGCAGCUAAAGCAGUGCUCAGAGGGAAAUUUAUAGGCUUCAAUACGUAUAUUAGAAGGGAAGAGGCUAGGUGGAGUAGCUCACACCUGUAGUUCCAACACCUUGGGUGGCCAGGGCGGGAGGACUGCUUGAGCCCAGGAGUUUGAGAUCAGCCUGGGCAACAUGGCAAGACCCCAUCUCUUAUAAAA